CUGCGAGUCGCUGUAGGGCGCCGUCCGGCAUGUCUUGUUUACGGCGAGGUCGGAAUCCCAACCUGCGGUCCCGCUAACCGUUUCAGAAUACACUUCCAUCCCAGAGUUUAGCAAAAGAAGGCCAGACAAGGAGAAAGAGAGCGAGAGAGAGCAAGGGGAUGUUGACUUAUCCCUCUGACUCGCUCCCUAAGAUAGUUUGUCCAAUGGAUGAAGAUGCUAUUCCCCCAAACCCUUUCUGUAGUGCACCUCCCCACAGUGAACCUCCACCACCUCUCCUCCCCCUUUCCUCCAUCACUCCCAGUUGUGCCGGUGAUGGAACAUCUGGACACAGACGAAGUGGUCGCAUCCAGGCGGUCAGAGCUCAGACUCCUAAAAAGCAGAGUAACACAGACAGCCGAGCGGCUCAGAAACCAUCCAGACAGAAUCCGUCCCCC